rnacentral:ncRNA from 12 species
AGUAUACGAUGUCAGAAAUGGUUCCUGGCGCGCUCUUCGAAGUACCUGAGAUGCCGGAUACACCGCCUGGCCGUAUGCU